rnacentral:rRNA from 1 species
CCCUUAGACGUUCUGGGCCGCACGCGCGCUACACUGACGAAGGCAACGAGCUUUCCUUUACCGAAAGGUACGGGUAAUCUUUUGAAACUUCGUCGUGCUGGGGAUAGAUCCUUGCAAUUUUUGAUCUUAAACGAGGAAUGCCUAGUAAGCGCAAGUCAUCAACUUGCGUUGAUUACGUCCCUGCCCUUUGUACACACCGCCCGUCGCACCUACCGAUUGAAUGGUCCGGUGAAGCCUCCGGAUUGGCGCGCACCUCGGUGCCGCCGAGAAGUUGGCUAAACCUUACCAUUUAGAGGAAGGUGAAGUCGUAACA